rnacentral:rRNA from 1 species
AACGAACGCUGGCGGCGUGCUUAACACAUGCAAGUCGAACGCGAAAGGGGCUUCGGUCCUGAGUAAAGUGGCGCACGGGUGAGUAACGCGUGGAUAAUCUACCUGACAUUUUGGGAUAACAUUUCGAAAGGGGUGCUAAUACCGGAUAAGACCACGAGGCCUUAGGGCCAUGGGGUAAAAGGUGGGGACCUUCGGGCCUGCCGAUGUCAGAUGAGUCCGCGUACCAUUAGCUAGUUGGUGGGGUAAAGGCCUACCAAGGCGACGAUGGUUAGCUGGUCUGAGAGGAUGAUCAGCCACACUGGAACUGAGACACGGUCCAGACUCCUACGGGAGGCAGCAGUGGGGAAUUUUGCGCAAUGGGGGAAACCCUGACGCAGCAACGCCGCGUGAGUGAUGAAGGCCUUCGGUCGUAAAGCUCUGUCAGAGGGAAGAAGUGCAGUGGCGCUAAAAUCGUCAUUGCUUGACGGUACCUUCAAAGGAAGCACCGGCUAACUCCGUGCCAGCAGCCG